GCGGGGGUGGUGGAAUAGGUAGACACGCUAGCUUGAGGGGCUAGUGGGCUACGGCUCGUGGGAGUUCAAGUCUCCCCCUCCGCACCA
rnacentral:tRNA from 3 species